rnacentral:rRNA from 1 species
GACGAACGCUGGCGGCGUGCUUAACACAUGCAAGUCGAACGGAAAGGCUCCAGCUUGCUGGAGUACUCGAGUGGCGAACGGGUGAGUAACACGUGGGUAAUCUGCCCUGCACUCUGGGAUAAGCCUGGGAAACUGGGUCUAAUACUGGAUUUGACCUUUCUCCUUAUGGGGUUUGGUGGAAAGUUUUUCGGUGUAGGAUGAGCCCGCGGCCUAUCAGCUUGUUGGUGGGGUGAUGGCCUACCAAGGCGACGACGGGUAGCCGGCCUGAGAGGGUGAUCGGCCACAUUGGGACUGAGAUACGGCCCAGACUCCUACGGGAGGCAGCAGUGGGGAAUAUUGCACAAUGGGCGGAAGCCUGAUGCAGCGACGCCGCGUGAGGGAUGACGGCCUUCGGGUUGUAAACCUCUUUCAGCAGGGACGAAGCGUAAGUGACGGUACCUGCAGAAGAAGCACCGGCUAACUAUGUG